UACGUAGGGUGCAAGCGUUAAUCGGAAUUACUGGGCGUAAAGCGUGCGCAGGCGGUUGGGUAAGGCAGAUGUGAAAUCCCCGGGCUCAACCUGGGAACUGCAUUUGUGACUGCACGGCUGGAGUGCGGCAGAGGGGGAUGGAAUUCCGCGUGUAGCAGUGAAAUGCAUAGAUAUCGGGAGGAACACCAGUGGCGAAGGCGACUACCUGGCCUGUUCUUGACGCUGAGGCGCGAAAGCUAGGGGAGCAAACGGG
rnacentral:rRNA from 1 species